rnacentral:rRNA from 1 species
GAUGAACGCUGGCGGCGUGCCUAAUACAUGCAAGUCGAGCGAACAGACGCGGCUCUUGCUCCUCUGACGUUAGCGGCGGACGGGUGAGUAACACGUGUAUCACCUACCUAUAAGACUGGGAUAACUUCGGGAAUCCGGCUCUAAUACCGUAUAAUAUCUUGCACCGCAUGGUUCAAUAGUGAAAGACGGUUUUGCUGUCACUUCUAGAUGCAUCCGCGCCGCUUUAGCUAGUUGGUAAGUUCACGGCUUACCAAGGCAACGAUGCGUAGACGACCGCAGAGAGGGAUAGGCGACACGGGAAGUGAGACAGGGUCAAGAGGCCUAAGGGAGGGAGCAGUAGGGAAUGGGACGAAAUGGGGGAAAGCAUGACAGAGCAACGGGGCGUGAGAGAUGAAGGUGUUCGGAGCGGAAAAAUCUGUUAUGAGGGAAAAACAAAUGUGGAAGGAAAUAAGGACGGAGUGACGGUAACUAAUCAGAAAGCAACGGCUAACUACGUG